rnacentral:misc_RNA from 1 species
UCUCCGUAGGUGAACCUGCGGAGGGAUCAUUACAAGUGACCCCGGUCUUACCACCGGGAUGUUCAUAACCCUUUGUUGUCCGACUCUGUUGCCUCCGGGGCGACCCUGCCUUCGGGCGGGGGCUCCGGGUGGACACUCCAAACUCUUGCGUAACUUUGCAGUCUGAGUAAACUUAAUUAAUAAAUUAAAACUUUUAACAACGGAUCUCUUGGUUCUG